ACGCUCGACACCUACGGGGGGCAGCAGUGGGGAAUAUUGCACAAUGGGGGAAACCCUGAUGCAGCAACGCCGCGUGAAGGAAGACGGUUUUCGGAUUGUAAACUUCUGUUCUUAGUGAAGAUAGUGACGGUAGCUAAGGAGCAAGCCACGGCUAACUACGUGCCAGCAGCAGCGGUAAUCUGAGCGGGCUGGCAAGGC
rnacentral:rRNA from 1 species